CCUACGGGAGGCAGCAGUGAGGAAUAUUGGUCAAUGGACGAGAGUCUGAACCAGCCAAGUAGCGUGAAGGAUGACUGCCCUAUGGGUUGUAAACUUCUUUUAUAGGGGAAUAAAAUGUGCCACGUGUGGGAUUUUGUAUGUACCAUAUGAAUAAGGAUCGGCUAACUCCGUGCCAGCAGCCGCGGUAAUACGGAGGAUCCGAGCGUUAUCCGGAUUUAUUGGGUUUAAAGGGAGCGUAGGUGGAUUGUUAAGUCAGUUUUGAAAGUUUGCGGCUCAACCGUAAAAUUGCAGUGGCAACGUGCAGUCUUUAGUACAGUAGAGGUGGGCGGCAUUCGUGUUGUAGCGG
rnacentral:rRNA from 1 species